rnacentral:tRNA from 1 species
GAAAUUCAUAGGUUGCGUCGAGAUUUCUAAUCUUGUUGUAAGCGGUUCGAUUCCGUUUGGGUUUCU